rnacentral:rRNA from 1 species
GAUGAACGCUGACAGAAUGCUUAACACAUGCAAGUCAACUUGAACUUCGGUUUGGGUGGCGGACGGGUGAGUAACGCGUAAAGAACUUGCCUCACAGUUAGGGACAACAUUUGGAAACGAAUGCUAAUACCUGAUAUUAUGAUUUUAGGGCAUCCUAGAAUUAUGAAAGCUAUAUGCGCUGUGAGAGAGCUUUGCGUCCCAUUAGCUAGUUGGAGAGGUAACGGCUCACCAAGGCGAUGAUGGGUAGCCGGCCUGAGAGGGUGAACGGCCACAAGGGGACUGAGACACGGCCCUUACGCCUACGGGAGGCAGCAGUGGGGAAUAUUGGACAAUGGACCAAGAGUCUGAUCCAGCAAUUCUGUGUGCACGAUGAAGUUUUUCGGAAUGUAAAGUGCUUUCAGUUGGGAAGAAAAAAAUGACGGUACCAACAGAAGAAGUGACGGCUAAAUACGUG